rnacentral:rRNA from 1 species
CAAUAGCGUAUAUUAAAGUUGUUGCAGUUAAAAAGCUCGUAGUUGGAUUUCUGGAUGGAGCGACCGGUCGGGCAUUAAUUUGUCUGCACUGGAGUCGGUUCCGUCCAUCCUCUUGGAAAGUGCGUGGGGCAUUAAGUUGUCUGGCGUAUGAUCCAAGUCGUUUACUGUGAAAAAAUUAGAGUGUUUAAAGCAGGCCUUCGCCUUGAAUACAUUAGCAUGGAAUAAUAAGAUAGGACUUUGGUCUAUUUUGUUGGCUUGCAGACCGAAGUAAUGAUUAAUAGGGAUAGUUGGGGGUAUUUAUAUUCCGAUGUCAGAGGUGAAAUUCUUAGAUUUUCGGAAGAUAAACUUAUGCGAAAGCAUUUACCAAGGAUGUUUUCAUUAA